GCUGGGCACAGUGGUGCAUGCCUGUAAUCCCAGCAGCUCGGGAGGCUGAGGCAGGAGGAUCUCAAGUUCAAAGCCAGCCUCAGCAAAAGCAAGGUGUUAAACAACUCAGUGAGACCCUGUCUCUA
rnacentral:sRNA from 1 species